CUGUGACACAUGACUCCUCUCUCUUCCUGGAGUGAUCCAAGCCCUGCCACUUCCUGACUUUGCCCACACUGUACCCUCUGCCUGGGGCAACUUCAUGUCUGCCCAUUGUCCCUUAGGCCUCAGCCCAGGCACAAGCCCCUGCCUCCGGAGGUCAUCCAGGCCUCACCAGGCUACACCCUCUCGUAAAAUUGGAUUCCCUCCCUUCAGGGCAGGUUUAUAAUGAAAUCCUCCUCAGAGGCCAGGUGCGGUGACACGCAUCUGUAAUCCCAGCACUUUGGGAGGCUGAGGUGGGAGGAUCACUUGAGGCCAGGGGGUCGAGACCAGCCUGGGCAACAUAAGAGAGACUCUUGUCUCUAUAACAAAUUUAAAAA
rnacentral:lncRNA from 10 species